rnacentral:rRNA from 1 species
UACGUAGGGCGCAAGCGUUGUCCGGAAUUAUUGGGCGUAAAGAGCUCGUAGGCGGCUUGUCACGUCGAUUGUGAAAGCCCGAGGCUUAACCUCGGGUCUGCAGUCGAUACGGGCUAGCUAGAGUGUGGUAGGGGAGAUCGGAAUUCCUGGUGUAGCGGUGAAAUGCGCAGAUAUCAGGAGGAACACCGGUGGCGAAGGCGGAUCUCUGGGCCAUACUGACGCUGAGGAGCGAAAGCAUGGGGAGCGAACAG